rnacentral:snoRNA from 1 species
GAAUGGGAAGAUGAUUAUGAUUGUUUCUCUAUUGGUUUGAUUGCCAGAAUGAUGUCAUAUGCCAUACUAGCUCUAUCUGACCAUUC